rnacentral:rRNA from 1 species
GGUAUCCUGUCUGAAUAUGGGGGGACCAUCCUCCAAGGCUAAAUACUCCUGACUGACCGAUAGUGAACCAGUACCGUGAGGGAAAGGCGAAAAGAACCCCGGCGAGGGGAGUGAAAAAGAACCUGAAACCGUGUACGUACAAGCAGUGGGAGCCUCUUUAUGGGGUGACUGCGUACCUUUUGUAUAAUGGGUCAGCGACUUAUAUUCUGUAGCAAGGUUAACCGAAUAGGGGAGCCGAAGGGAAACCGAGUCUUAACUGGGCGUUAAGUUGCAGGGUAUAGACCCGAAACCCGGUGAUCUAGCCAUGGGCAGGUUGAAGGUUGGGUAACACUAACUGGAGGACCGAACCGACUAAUGUUGAAAAAUUAGCGGAUGACUUGUGGCUGGGGGUGAAAGGCCAAUCAAACCGGGAGAUAGCUGGUUCUCCCCGAAAGCUAUUUAGGUAGCGCCUCGUGAAUUCAUCUCCGGGGGUAGAGCACUGUUUCGGCAAGGGGGUCAUCCCGACUUACCAACCCGAUGCAAACUGCGAAUACCGGAGAAUGUUAUCACGGGAGACACACGGCGGGUGCUAACGUCCGUCGUGAAGAGGGAAACAACCCAGACCGCCAGCUAAGGUCCCAAAGUCAUGGUUAAGUGGGAAACGAUGUGGGAAGGCCCAGACAGCCAGGAUGUUGGCUUAGAAGCAGCCAUCAUUUAAAGAAAGCGUAAUAGCUCACUGGUCGAGUCGGCCUGCGCGGAAGAUGUAACGGGGCUAAACCAUGCACCGAAGCUGCGGCAGCGACACUAUGUGUUGUUGGGUAGGGGAGCGUUCUGUAAGCCUGUGAAGGUGGCCUGUGAGGGUUGCUGGAGGUAUCAGAAGUGCGAAUGCUGACAUAAGUAACGAUAAAGCGGGUGAAAAGCCCGCUCGCCGGAAGACCAAGGGUUCCUGUCCAACGUUAAUCGGGGCAGGGUGAGUCGACCCCUAAGGCGAGGCCGAAAGGCGUAGUCGAUGGGAAACAGGUUAAUAUUCCUGUACUUGGUGUUACUGCGAAGGGGGGACGGAGAAGGCUAUGUUGGCCGGGCGACGGUUGUCCCGGUUUAAGCGUGUAGGCUGGUUUUCCAGGCAAAUCCGGAAAACCAAGGCUGAGGCGUGAUGACGAGGCACUACGGUGCUGAAGCGACAAAUGCCCUGCUUCCAGGAAAAGCCUCUAAGCAUCAGGUAACAUCAAAUCGUACCCCAAACCGACACAGGUGGUCAGGUAGAGAAUACCAAGGCGCUUGAGAGAACUCGGGUGAAGGAACUAGGCAAAAUGGUGCCGUAACUU